rnacentral:rRNA from 1 species
UACAGAGGUGGCAAGCGUUGUUCGGAAUUACUGGGCGUAAAGGGCGCGUAGGCGGUCCGAUAAGUCCCGUGUGAAAUCCCUCGGCUCAACUGAGGAAUGGCACGGGAAACUGACGGGCUUGAGUUCGGGAGAGGGAAGCGGAAUUCCGGGUGUAGCGGUGAAAUGCGUAGAUAUCCGGAGGAACACCAGUGGCGAAGGCGACUUCCUGGCCUGUUCUUGACGCUGAGGCGCGAAAGCUAGGGUAGCAAACGGG